AGUGAACGCUGGCGGUAGGCCUAACACAUGCAAGUCGAACGGCAGCACAGAGGAGCUUGCUCCUUGGGUGGCGAGUGGCGGACGGGUGAGGAAUACAUCGGAAUCUACUCUGUCGUGGGGGAUCACGUAGGGAAACUUACGCUAAUACCGCAUACGACCUACGGGUGAGAGCAGGGGAGCUUCGGACCUUACGCGAUUGAAUGCGCCGAUGUCGGAUUAGCUAGUUGGCGGGGUAAAGGCCCACCAAGGCGACGAUCCGUAGCUGGUCUGAGAGGAUGAUCAGCCACACUGGAACUGAGACACGGUCCAGACUCCUACGGGAGGCAGCAGUGGGGAAUAUUGGACAAUGGGCGCAAGCCUGAUCCAGCCAUACCGCGUGGGUGAAGAAGGCCUUCGGGUUGUAAAGCCCUUUUGUUGGGAAAGAAAUCCAUCUGGUUAAUACCCGGGUGGGAUGACGGUACCCAAAGAAUAAGCACCGGCUAACUUCGUGCCAGCAGCCGCCGCAG
rnacentral:rRNA from 1 species